GCCGGUGUGUGUGCGAGUGCGGGGUGUGUGCCGGAGAAACUCCGAGACGGCGGUGUGGAGGACGCCUUAGGCUGUGUGUGUGCAUCAGAGGGGGAUGCACCUGUGUGUGUGUGUGUGUGUGUGUGUGUGUUAGUCUCUGGAACUGUGUGAAUCUCUGAGCUGGUGGGUGUGAAUCUCUGGGCCUGUGGGUGUGAAUCUGGGCUGGUGGGUGUGAGUCUCUGGGCUGGUGGGUGUGAGUCUGGGCUGGUGAGUGUGAGUCUCUGGGCUGGUGGGUGUGAGUCUCUGGGCUGGUGGGUGUGAGUCUGGGCUGGUGAGUGUGAAUCUCUGGGCUGGUGGGUGUGAGUCUCUGGGCUGGUGGGUGUGAGUCUGGGCUGGUGAGUGUGAAUCUCUGGGCUGGUGGGUGUGAGUCUGGGCUGGUGAGUGUGAAUCUCUGGGCUGGUGGGUGUGAGUCUCUGGGCUGGUGGGUGUGAGUCUGGGCUGGUGAGUGUGAAUCUCUGGGCUGGUGGGUAUGGGUCUCUGGGCUGAUGGGUGUGAAUCUGGGCUGGUGAGUGUGAAUCUCUGGGCCUGUGGGUGUGAAUCUCUGGGCUGGUGAGUGUGAAUCUCUGGGCUUGUGGGUAUGAGUCUCUGGGCUGGUGGGUGUGAAUCUGGGCUGGUGAGUGUGAAUCUCUGGGCUGGUGGGUGUGAGUCUCUGGGCUGGUGGGUGUGAGUCUGGGCUGGUGAGUGUGAAUCUCUGGGCCUGUGGGUGUGAAUCUGGGCUGGUGGGUGUGAAUCUCUGGGCCUGUGGGUGUGAAUCUGGGCUGGUAGGUGUGCCUCUGGGAUCAUGCAUGUGAGUUCCUGAGCGUGUGUGGUCAGAGUGGCUUUGAGUGUGUGUCUGCACUUUGAGCAUGCACACUUUGAGUGUGUGUGCUUUGAGCAUGCACGUCUGGGCGUGCGUGGAUGGUGAAUGCCUGUGGAUGUGUGAGAACCCCGAGUGUGCUGGGCCGCGCUCUGUGGUCCUCACCGGGAGGCCGACUAUGGAGGGACAGGAGAGUGGUUUUGACCCCCCAUUGCCACGCUGGACACCUGGCCCUGGCCGAGCUGCAGGACGCGGUCCACUUCCUGGGUCAGGGACCUUCCCCCUACCAGCCCCUCUUCCCUGGGGAGGACACGUCUCUGCCUUGGAGCAGCCCCCGGGCCGUCACUGAUGUGGGCAUUUUUGAGGACCCGCUGAGGAAGGUGAUGCCGGGAGACAGAUGGAAAACGCUGCAGGAGACCCUGGUCCAUGUGUAGGGAGCAGCCGGCGGGAGGUGGGCCGAAAUCCCAGAGGGUGGCUGUGUGAUCCGAGCCCCAGGGGGCAGUGGGGCGCUCCGGUGGAGGGGGCAGCUGCUGGUGAAGGAGCAGACGGUGCUGUCACCCCCGAGCCCUGUCAUUAAAGCCGAGCACAGUGCCCUGACGGCGUCCACGAGCACAGAGGAGCCUCCGUGUCAUCAGCCCCCAGGAGCUGCUGCAGGGGACGACUCCACGGAACCCUUGAACCCCACGUGGCCGUGCAGGCACCCAGGCCGGGAAAGGACAGCUGCGUUGCCGCGAGGGCCCGUGGCGCAGGGAGGGCCGCCCCGAGGGGUAGUUCUGCGGGGAAGGGUGGCUGCCGUCACCUUGGGGCCAGGUGCAGCCCCCAUCGGGGCCCCCUGGGGUGUUUGAAGGGAGGCCGAGGUCGGAGCCAAGGUGAGAGGGGCCCGCGCCUGGCCUUUCCCGUCCCUCCGGAUCUCGAGGGGGCCGUGCAACUCGAGAGCGCUGGGGGCACGCGGCCGGGUCAGGGUGACCCUCGCUGAGUGACGCUGCCUUUUCCACCGCUGCCCUUCCCGGGGGAGCGGAGCCUGCAGUUGCCAAGGGAUUUUUUUUCUUAAGGAAAACAACAACAACAUUAUGGAUUUGUCCUUUGUAGGAGCUCGCCAUCCCUCCUCGAUCAAAAUCUCUGCUUUCACGAGUAGUCAAUCCCUGCCGGGCGAGUUUCAAGGUUUCUCUAAACCCCACCGGGCAUCCGAGCUCCAGGUGUCACCCGCUACCCCAGCGCGGCCCGGUGGCAAUGAGUCACAUACGGCAUUUAAAAUGUUCUGGUGGCCAUGUUAAAAAAAAUGAAUUUAACUUGUAUUUCA